rnacentral:rRNA from 1 species
GACGGAGGGCGCAAGCGUUGUUCGGAAUUACUGGGCGUAAAGCGCACGCAGGCGGUUUCUUAAGUCCUUUGUGAAAGCCCGGGGCUCAACUCCGGAACUGCAGAGGAUACUGGGAAGCUGGAGACUGGUAGAGGCUGGCGGAAUUCCUGGUGUAGCGGUGGAAUGCGUAGAUAUCAGGAAGAACACCUGUGGCGAAGGCGGCUAGCUGGGCCAGUUCUGACGCUCAUGUGCGAAAGCGUGGGGAGCAAACAGG